rnacentral:rRNA from 1 species
UACGUAGGGUGCAAGCGUUAAUCGGAAUUACUGGGCGUAAAGCGUGCGCAGGCGGUUUUGUAAGUCUGACGUGAAAGCCCCGGGCUUAACCUGGGAAUGGCGCUUGAAACUGGAGGGCUUGGAGUGCGGCAGAGGGGGGUGGAAUUCCUGGUGUAGCGGUGAAAUGCGUAGAGAUCAGGAGGAACACCGAUGGCGAAGGCAGCCCCCUGGGCCGCGUCUGACGCUCAGGCACGAAAGCGUGGGGAGCAAACAGG